GGCCAACUCAAACUAAAUAUAGAGGCUCAAGUUGGUGGGAAAAAUUAUCUUGCUUGAUGUCACACACUAGCAUCAACAGUUGGCGAAGAACCUUCUCUUUGUUGCGAUGAUGGUUGGCCUGCAUUGCCUGGAUCUUCUGACGUGUCUGUUGCUCGACUUCCGUUGCCAAGUUACCUUGGGACCCCAUAACCUUUGUCAAAAUAAAAGGGAAAAGGAACAGCUAGGACCGGAUCUGGGGUGGGGUUCCUGAAGGGUAGUUGAAGUUCAAAUUAUCCAAAGUUCAAUUUUCAUGGUGCUUUCAAAUGUUCAAACUUCAAAUCUGCCUCAUUACAAAAAUAAUUCAUGCUAAUGUUAUGCCCUUCUUAAUUGGAGGUAUUGCCUUCCUGUCUUGUGCACUUCCAAUGGUGCUAUUUAUUCUCAAAUACCACAUCUGAGAGGUCAUUACUCAUGUAUGAGUCUUGCAACUCAGUAUGGCAGGCUAUUUGGCUGGUGAGGCAUCACAAUGAAAAUCAAUUCUCUCCUUGAGUCAAUCAGCAAAUGUGGAAAGAAGAGGCAAGUUUCAAGUGUAACCCUUUGUCAGAACUGAGAAUAAAGUUGUAUCCUUUCAAGAGUUA